AUCAUUGUUACUAUUCACUUCAAACUUCCCAAGCUCAUAUCUUGAGCUACGGAGCUCCGAUCGCCGCACCGUUUGCGGCUACGCGUUUCUUGUGAAGAACUCUACAAAAUCCACCCAAGAAACCCUCAAGGUUUGCUCUAAUCCUUGCUUAGCUUUGGAUUUGUGUUAUCAAAUCUGUUGGGAAAGUUUGAUUAUUGUGGCUUUGGGAGCUUUUGGAACUUAUUUGUGCUUGUUGGAGUGGAUUUGAAAGCUUGGAUUGUGGUUGGAAGCUUGUUGGUGCUCAUUUUGAGUUUGGGUGCAUAAAGGGAAUCGGCCAAGAUGCAGGUCGCAACCCACCUCGGUGAGUUGCUUUGGUUGGUGACAAGAGCGGAGAAUCUUGGAUCAUUUUGGUGUUCUUUUUGGUUUAUUUUGUUUAUACAUCUCUCCUUUUGUAUUUUGUUUUGCCUAGAGGCAUGUAUUUGAGAGAACAAAACUUGUAUAAGCUAUUUUCACUGUAU